GUGAGGAAUUUUCCGCAAUGGGCGAAAGCCUGACGGAGCAAUGCCGCGUGAAGGAUGAAGGCCUAUGGGUUGUAAACUUCUUUUCUCAGAAAAGAAUUAUGACGGUAUCUGAGGAAUAAGCAUCGGCUAACUCUGUGCCAGCAGCCGCGGUAAGACAGAGGAUGCAAGCGUUAUCCGGAAUGAUUGGGCGUAAAGCGUCUGUAGGUUGUUUAAAAAGUAUUCUGUCAAAGAUUAGGGCUUAACCCUAGAUAGGCAGAAUAAACUUUUAAGCUAGCGUUUCGUAGAGGCAGAAGUAAUUCCCGGUGGAGAGCUGUAAUGCGUAGAUAUCGGGAGGAACACCAAAGGCGAAGGCACUCUGCUGGGCCAAUACUAACACUGAGAGACGAAAGCGAGGGGAGCAAAUGGGAUUAGAUACCCUAGUAGUCC
rnacentral:rRNA from 1 species